CAUACACUAUGUGACCUUUUGUGUUAGCAUCAUGUUUUCUUUCUUUUUUUAUUUUUUGAGACAGAGUCUCGUUCUGUUGCCAGGCUAUAGUGCAAUGGUGCGAUCUCGGCUCACUGCAACCUCUGCCUCCCAGGUUCAAGCGAUUCUCCUGCCUCAGCCUCCUGAGUAGCUGGGACUAUAGGCCCAUGCCAACACACCGAGCUGAUUUUUGUAUUUUUAGUAGAGACGAGGUUUCACCAUGUUGGCCAGACUGAUCUCAAACUCCUGACCUCGUGAUCCACCCGCCUCGGCCUCCUAAAGCACUGGGAUUUCAGGCGUGAGCCACUGAGAGGAAUAUUUUUAUGUGGUUCAGAGACACUUCUGGGAUACUUAAAACACAUAAUUAGUUGUCAUGGUGUAGGAAUGGCUUCCAGGAAUGCUUCUAUUGUGUAAGGUGCUAACUCACUAGAUGCGAGGCCAUAGCCUACUAUGGCACGAAUGUAUCUUUUAGUGGCCCACUCCAGAAGCAUCUGGUAAUAGAAGUGUCAAGAAUUGAAAGGAAGCCUGUACAAUGGGUCACACCUGUAAUACCAGCAUUUUAGGCGGCAGAGGAUGGCGGAUCACUUGAAGUCAGGAGUUCAAGACCAGCCUGGACAAAGAUAUUGUGAAACAUGCAGCCGAAACAGUAGGAAACGUCACAGAGGUGUGUCAGGCAGAAGAUUAAUAAAAACAUUACGUUAUCCUUUGGGAUUUUGCAAUCUUUGUGGUAUUUGGCUCUUAAUUUGUUAUCAUUUCAUAUUCUAAGUAAACUUUGUCAGUUUUUGUUUUAAACGUAUUUUUCUUUCUUAAAGAGGUCCCUCCUCCUUCAUACCCGCGCUCAAUUCCUUUGGCUGGAUCCUUCCAAUUCAUGACCGAUUGGUUUAAAAUAUGGGUCGUUCAAAAGCUGUGUGAUCCCGAGCUAGUGGCUAUACCCCUCAAAGCCUGUUUCCUUAGUGGUAAAAUGGAAAUCAUAAUAACUUUGAAGUGAUGUUAUAAAGUUUAAAGAAGCCAAGGUCCGCAAAAUGCUUAGUGCAGGUUUGGAAUGCACCGAGAGAUGACAAAUCUCAACCUGUCUUUAUGCUGACACCACUCCCC
rnacentral:lncRNA from 1 species